AGAUCAUUUUGAGGACAAUUUCUAAGCAAUCCUUUAUAACGCUCUCAUGCCUCAUACAAUUACUCUCCGACUUGUUGCUCAAAAUUUACAAUAGCCUUCUUCAACUU